rnacentral:rRNA from 1 species
AGAGUUUGAUCCUGGCUCAGAUUGAUCGCUGGCGGCGUGCCUAACACAUGCAAGUCGAGCGGUAACAGGUGUAGCAAUACAUGCUGACGAGCGGCGAACGGGUGAGUAAUGCUUUGGAAUCUUCCCAGUAGUGGGGAAUAACCAGUCGAAAGAUUGGCUAAUACCGCAUACGUCUGUAAAGGGAAAGCGGGGGCUCGUAAGACCUCGCGCUAUUGGAUGAGCCAAAGUCGGAUUAGCUAGUUGGUGGGGUAAUGGCCUACCAAGGCGACAAUCCGUAGCUGGUCUGAGAGGACGACCAGCCACACCGGAACUGAGACACGGUCCGGACUCCUACGGGAGGCAGCAGUGGGGAAUAUUGGACAAUGGGGGAAACCCUGAUCCAGCGACGCCGCGUGUGUGAAGAAGGCCUGCGGGUUGUAAAGCACUUUUAGUGGGGA